ensembl:lncRNA
GACAGAUAGAUACUGGUCAGUUAGAGACAGUAGGACAGAUAGAUACUGGUCAGUUAGAGACAGUAGGAUAGAUAGAUACUGGUCAGUUAGAGACAGUAGGAUAGAUAGAUACUGGUCAGUUAGAGACAGUAGGACAGAUAGAUACUGGUCAGUUAGAGACAGUAGGAUAGAUACUGGUCAGUUAGAGACAGUAGGACAGAUAGAUACUGGUCAGUUAGAGACAGUAGGAUAGAUACUGGUCAGUUAGAGACAGUAGGAUAGAUACUGGUCAGUUAGAGACAGUAGGACAGAUAGAUACUGGUCAGUUAGAGACAGUAGGACAGAUACUGGUCAGUUAGAGACAGUAGGACAGAUAGAUGGUCAGUUAGAGACAGUAGGACAGAUACUGGUCAGUUAGAGACAGUAGAUAGAUACUGGUCAGUUAGAGACAGUAGGACAGAUACUGGUCAGUUAGAGACAGUAGGACAGAUAGAUACUGGUCAGUUAGAGACAGUAGGAUAGAUACUGGUCAGUUAGAGACAGUAGGACAGAUAGAUACUGGUCAGUUAGAGACAGUAGGAUAGAUAGAUACUGGUCAGUUAGAGACAGUAGGACAGAUAGAUACUGGUCAGUUAGAGACAGUAGGACAGAUAGAUACUGGUCAGUUAGAGACAGUAGGAUAGAUAGAUACUGGUCAGUUAGAGACAGUAGGAUAGAUAGAUACUGGUCAGUUAGAGACAGUAGGACAGAUAGAUACUGGUCAGUUAGAGACAGUAGGAUAGAUAGAUACUGGUCAGUUAGAGACAGUAGGAUAGAUAGAUACUGGUCAGUUAGAGACAGUAGGAUAGAUACUGGUCAGUUAGAGACAG